rnacentral:rRNA from 1 species
UGCGUAGGUGGCGGAGUAAGUCGGAUGUGAAAUCUCCGAGCUCAACUCGGAAAUGGCAUUGGAAACUACUCUGCUCGAGGAUUGGAGGGGGGACUGGAAUACUUGGUGUAGCAGUGAAAUGCGUAGAUAUCAAGUGGAACACCAGUGGCGAAGGCGAGUCCCUGGACAACUCCUGACACUGAGGCACGAAAGCUAGGGGAGCAAACAGGAUUAGAUACCCUGGUAGUCCUAGCCGUAAACGGUGCACGUUUGCUGUAAAAGGAAUCGACCCCUUUUGUGGCGUAGCCAACGCGUUAAACGUGCCGCCUGGGAAGUACGGUCGCAAGAUUAAA